CUACCAUGGCAUUCACGGGUAACGGAGGAUUAGGGUUCGAUUCCGGAGAGGGAGCCUGAGAAACGGCUACCACAUCUAAGGAAGGCAGCAGGCGCGUAAAUUACCCAAUCCUGACUCAGGGAGGUAGUGACAAGAAAUAGCAAGAAGUACUUCGUGUAUUUCAUUGAAAUGAACCGAAUUUACACCACUUAGUGAGGAUCAAUUGGAGGGCAAGUCUGGUGCCAGCAGCCGCGGUAAUUCCAGCUCCAAUAGCGUAUAUUAAAGUUGUUGCAGUUAAAAAGCUCGUAGUUGGAUUUCUGGCUGGGCGCUGAUGUGACGCGAAGCGCUCACAAAGCACCGGCCAUCCUUCUGUAAACUCGAUGCGAGAUUCAUUUCUCGUUCGAGGGAUCAGAUAAUUUACCUUGAGAAAAUUAGAGUGUUUCAGGCAGGCUUAGCCGGAAUACAUUAGCAUGGAAUAAUGGAAUAGGACUAUGGUCUCGUUGUUGGUUUGAGGGAUCGCAGUAAUGAUUAAUAGGGAUAGUUGGGGGCAUUAGUAUUUAUUAGCUAGAGGUGGAAUUCUCUAAUUUAAUAAAGACUAACUUAUGCGAAAGCAUUUGCCAAGGAUGUUUUCAUUAAUCAA
rnacentral:rRNA from 1 species